rnacentral:rRNA from 1 species
AUGMCAAGGUCGAACGGUAAGGCCCCUUCGGGGGUACACGAGUGGCGAACGGGUGAGUAACACGUGGGUAAUCUGCCCUGCACUUCGGGAUAAGCCUGGGAAACUGGGUCUAAUACCGGAUAUAAGCUCCUGCCGCAUGGUGAGGGUUGGAAAGUUUUUCGGUGCAGGAUGAGUCCGCGGCCUAUCAGCUUGUUGGUGGGGUAAUGGCCUACCAAGGCGACGACGGGUAGCCGGCCUGAGAGGGUGAUCGGCCACACUGGGACUGAAACACAGCCCAAACUCCUACAAAAAACAGCAGUGAAGAAUAUUGCACAAUGGGCGAAAGCCUGAUACAACAACACCACAUGGGAGAUGACAGUCUUCGGAUUGUAAACCCCUUUCAGUAGGGACGAAGCGCAAGUGACAGUACCUGCAGAAGAAGCACCGGCCAACUACGUGCCAGCAGCCGCGGUAAUACGUAGGAUGCGAGCGUUGUCCGGAAUUACUGGGCGUAAAGAGCUCGUGGCGGUUUGUCACGUCGUCCAUGAAAACUCAGAGCUUAACUCCAAACUUGCAAGCAAUACAAACAGACUUGAGUACUACAAAAAAGACUGGAAUUUCUGGUGUAGCGGUGAAAUGCGCAGAUAUCAGGAGGAACACCGAUGGCGAAGGCGGGUCUCUGGKUAGUAACUGACGCUGAGGAGCGAAMGCAUGGGGAGCAAACRGGAUUAGAUACCCUGGUAGUCCAUGCCGUAAACGGUGGGCGCUAAAGUGUGGGGUCCYUUCCACGGAWUUCCGUGCCGUAGCUAACGCAWUAAGCGGCCUCGCCUGGGGGAAGUACCGGCCGCMAAGGCUWAAAACUCAAAGGA